AAAUUGAAGAGUUUGAUCAUGGCUCAGAUUGAACGCUGGCGGCAGGCCUAACACAUGCAAGUCGAACGGUAACAGGAAGCAGCUUGCUGCUUUGCUGACGAGUGGCGGACGGGUGAGUAAUAUCUGGGAAACUGCCUGAUGGAGGGGGAUAACUACUGGAAACGGUAGCUAAUACCGCAUAACGUCGCAAGACCAAAGAGGGGGACCUUCGGGCCUCUUGCCAUCGGAUGUGCCCAGAUGGGAUUAGCUUGUUGGUGGGGUAACGGCUCACCAAGGCGACGAUCCCUAGCUGGUCUGAGAGGAUGACCAGCCACACUGGAACUGAGACACGGUCCAGACUCCUACGGGAGGCAGCAGUGGGGAAUAUUGCACAAUGGGCGCAAGCCUGAUGCAGCCAUGCCGCGUGUAUGAAGAAGGCCUUCGGGUUGUAAAGUACUUUCAGCGGGGAGGAAGGGAGUAAAGUUAAUACCUUU
rnacentral:rRNA from 1 species